GAGCUACUAACAAAGACACACCUCUAUUCUGAAUUUCUACUUGAAAAAGAUGGACCAUCAGCUACGGAAUAUGUUCGCUGUUGACAUUGGUGGUGGUGUCUUUUGGUUCAACAUGAAGUUGUUUAAGUGAAAAAUGCAGUGGAACAUGUGGAACAAAGGACGUGGUAUGGAAAGGAAAGCAAAGCAAAGCCUAAACAGUACAAUGAUGCAGGCAGCCCCCAUCAUCCACAACCUUGAUUCCACAAUAUACCCCGCUGAUAUGAUCUAGAGGAGCGAGGAGCUGGGCAAGGAGUCACUGCCGGUUCACAUGACCAAGAAGGGGUACGCGAUUUUGGGAAGAGAUGCAGGAAGACUGGAAGAAGAUUGACUUCAGUCGCUUCGGCAUCGCCGGCAGCGCCGACAGGAUCCUGCUUUAUUCCGAAGAACUGAUUUUAUAUGAUUCUGAACCUAGCCGUCCAACAUCAUAUCUGUCCAGCUAUACAAGCUUGUAUGCAGCCAAGUUAGUUGCUUUAUUAUGGACUCAACGAGGAAGAGCACUACCACUUUUUCAGAAUUUGAUUUUGUGAACCUUCAUGUUGCACUAUCACAUAUUGCACAUGAGUUGAUUCA